UGAGGAAUAUUGGUCAAUGGCCGGAAGGCUGAACCAGCCAAGCCGCGUGGAGGAAGAAGGCGCAGAGCGUCGCAGACUCCUUUUGUCGGGGGAGCCAACGGCCGCACGCGUGCGGCUCUGAGGGUACCCGGAAGAAAAACGCAAUCGGCUAACUCCGUGCCAGCAGCCGCGGUAAUACGGAGGAUGCGAGCGUUAUCCGGAUUCAUUGGGUUUAAAGGGUGCGUAGGCGGCGUCUUAAGCCGGCGGUGAAAUCGCGGGGCUCAACCCCGCCGAGCGUCGGAACUGGGAUGCUCGAGUGUCGGCGAGGCAUGCGGAAUGCGCGGUGUAGCGGUGAAAUGCAUAGAUAUCGCGCAGAACCCCGAUUGCGAAGGCAGCGUGCCAGCCGCCCACUGACGCUGAGGCACGAAAGCAGCGGGUAUCGAACAGGAUUAGAUACC
rnacentral:rRNA from 1 species